rnacentral:rRNA from 1 species
CCUACGGGAGGCAGCAGUGGGGAAUAUUGCACAAUGGGGGAAACCCUGAUGCAGCGACGCCGCGUGAGUGAAGAAGUAUCUCGGUAUGUAAACCUCUGUCAGCAGGGAAGAAAAUUACGUUACCUAACUAGCAGUCCCCUGCUAACUACUGGCCAGCAGCCGCCGUAAUACGUAGGGGGCGAGCCUUAGCCGGAUUUACUGGGGGGAAAGUGAGCGUAGACGGCGCUGCAAGUCAGGAGUGAAAGCCCAUUGCUUAACCAUGGGACUGCUCUGGAAACUGGGGAUCUUGAGUGCGGGAGGGGAUGGCGGAAUUCCUAGUGUAGGGGUGAAAUGCGUAGAUAGUAGGAGGAACAGCAGUGGCGAAGGCGGCCUGCUGGCACGUAACUGACGCUGAGGAGCGAAAGCGUGGGGAGCAAACAGGAUUAGAUACCCCAGUAGUC